AAAAAUUUAGUUUAAUUAAAAUAUUAAUUUGUCAAAUUAAAGUUAUUUGAAAAUAAUUGUUG
rnacentral:tRNA from 1 species